rnacentral:rRNA from 1 species
UCCGUAGGGUGCGCGCGUUAAUCGGAAUUACUGGGCGUAAAGGGCGUGUAGGCGGCCAACUAAGUCCGACGUGAAAUCCCCAGGCUUAACCUGGGAACUGCGUCGGAUACUGGAUGGCUUGAAUCCGGGAGAGGGAUGCAGAAUUCCAGGUGUAGCGGUGAAAUGCGUAGAUAUUGGGAGGAACACCAGUGGCGAAGGCGGCUCACUGGACUGGUACUGACGCUGAUGCGCGAAAGCGUGGGGAGCAAACAGG